UGGGGAAUAUUGGACAAUGGGGGGAACCCUGAUCCAGCCAUGCCGCGUGUGUGAAGAAGGCCUUAUGGUUGUAAAGCACUUUAAGCGAGGAGGAGGGUACUGGUAUUAAUACUACCAGCUACUGGACGUUACUCGCAGAAUAAGCACCGGCUAACUCUGUGCCAGCAGCCGCGGUAAUACAGAGGGUGCAAGCGUUAAUCGGAAUUACUGGGCGUAAAGCGUGCGUAGGCGGCUAAUUGAGUCGGAUGUGAAAUCCCCGAGCUUAACUUGGGAAUUGCAUUCGAUACUGGUUAGCUAGAGUGUGGGAGAGGAUGGUAGAAUUCCAGGUGUAGCGGUGAAAUGCGUAGAGAUCUGGAGGAAUACCGAUGGCGAAGGCAGCCAUCUGGCCUAACACUGACGCUGAGGUACGAAAGCAUGGGGAGCAAACAGG
rnacentral:rRNA from 1 species